rnacentral:rRNA from 1 species
AAACAUCGCCUCUUGCAAAAUAUAAGAGGUCCAGCCUGCCCAGUGACUUAGGUUCAACGGCCGCGGUAUCCUAACCGUGCGAAGGUAGCGUAAUCACUUGUUCUUUAAAUGGGGACUAGUAUGAAUGGCACCACGAGGGUUAAACUGUCUCCUUUUUUUGAUCAGUGAAACUAAUCUUCCCGUGAAAAAGCGGGGAUUAUUAUAUAAGACGAGAAGACCCUAUGGAGCUUUAAACAAACUAACACCCGCUACCUCUAACUCUCCUUCCGAGUAAAAACAUUAAACAUAGCAUUCUGAUUAUAAGUUUUCGAUUGGGGUGAUCACGGAGCAAAAAAAAACCUCCACGCCGAACGGACUAACCUCCUGAACAAAAAGCCACGACUUUAUGUACUAAUAAAUUAACGUCUUUGACCCAUUACAUGAUCAACGAACCAAGUUACCCUAGGGAUAACAGCGCUAUCUACUUCAAGAGCUCCUAUCGACAAGUGGGUUUACGACCUCGAUGUUGGAUCAGGGUGUCCCAGUGGUGCAGCCGCUACUAACGGUUCGUUUGUUCAACGAUUAAAACCCUACGUGAUC